rnacentral:lncRNA from 1 species
AUUAGGGUUGACCGCUUUGAUCGAGCCCCGAACAUUGUUGAAUCCAGUUGAAUUUUAUACCAUAGCCAUGUUUCACUAUAAUGAUCACAUCAUACAGUCAAUUUUUAUUUUAUGAAUUUUAGUCAUCGGAAUUAUAACGUGCCUACUAAUGUGGUAAAACUUGUUUGGUAGGUUAUACGCUAGUGUACAACUUUGUGAGCCAACUAUAUAGAGGAGGCAAAAUUUUCAAAAAUCUCAUGAAAUAGGAUGUGAUCGGUAUAGUAAAAUACGGCUACGGUAGACAAAUCACUUUAAUUCGUCAAUGUUUGGGCCCUGAUCGAAGCCGUCAACCAUAUUUACGUUUAUGCUUCAAUAAGGAGAGCCCUAUCCUCGGGUGGUAAACGUCCCCAAAGUUUUACAUGGGUGGUUAUGUCACAUCUAUGUGAGACUUUAUUGUGUUGAAGAAUCCACCAAACUAGGUCACGAAGAGGUAGGUAAGAUAGUUUCGUGUGAUAAGUGAAGAUUAAUUAGGGUUGACCGCUUUGAUAGAGCACCGAACAUUGUUGAAUCCAGUUGAAUUUUAUACCAUAGCCAUAUUUCACUAUAAUGAUCAAAUCAGACGGACAAUUUUAAUUUUGUGAAUAUUCAUUGAUUCAAUCUCAAGAACAAUUUAGAUUUCCAGAAAGUCUACUUUUCUUUGAUUUCUCUUAUGUUAAUGGUAGACAUUUCUUAUGAAAAAAGUAGUUUUGUCUUAUGUUAAAUGUAGACUUUGCAUCUUUUACAUUGGUUUGGUUCAAUCUCAAGAACAAUUUAGAUUUCCAGAAAGUCUACUUUUCUUUGAUUUCUCUUAUGUUAAUGGUAGAUGUUUCUAAUGAAAAUAGUAGAUUAGUCUUAUGUUAAAUGUAGACUUUGCAACUUUCACCUUCCAUUAUUGAUUCAAUCUCAAGAACAAUUUAGAUUUCCAGAAAGUCUACUUUCUUUGAUUUCUCUUAUGUUAAUGGUAGACAUUUCUUAUUAAAAAAGUAGUUGUGU